rnacentral:rRNA from 1 species
AUGUUGAGGUCGAUCAAUUUAACCGAGUUGCCAGAUAUGUUCCCGUGGAUGUUGACUACCAAUGGUCUCAUUACCAUGAAGUCCAUGUAUGCAGAUCUUAUGAAUUCUAUACCUUUGUUUCUCAUAAUGCACAUCUGGAAAACAAAAUUUUCUUCUAAAAUCAAAGUUUUCAUGAGUUUCUUGCAUAGGGGGGUAGUUCUUACCAAAGAUAGUCUUGCAAAAUGUAAUUGGCAGGGUAGCAAACAAUGUUGUUAUUGUAAUCAUGAGGAAACAAUUCAUCAUUUAUUACUAUCAUGUUCGCUCACUACAUUGAUUUGGCACACAAUUCAUGUUCUUUCAAUUUAUCACCACCAACAAGUAUACCAAAUUUGUUUGGUAAUUGGCUAG